rnacentral:rRNA from 1 species
AGUCCCGCAACGAGCGCAACCCUUACCGUGAGUUACCAGCAUUUAGUUGGGGACUCUCGCGGAACUGCCGGUGAUAAACCGGAGGAAGGUGGGGAUGACGUCAAGUCCUCAUGGCCUUUAUGUCCAGGGCUACACACGUGCUACAAUGGCUGGUACAAACCGCCGCGAAGUCGCGAGACGGAGCCAAUCGGAAAAAACCAGUCUCAGUUCGGAUUGGAGAUGAGGGAGCGACUCCAUGAAGUUGGAAUCGCUAGUAAUCGCAGAUCAGCAUGCUGCGGUGAAUACGUUCC